UUUUUUUUUUUUUUUUUUUUUUUUUUUUUUUUUUUUUUUUUUUUGCCACAACAACAAGAGCGGCGCUAGGAGGGUCUGCAU
rnacentral:ribozyme from 13 species